UUAAGUUCAGCGGGUAUCCCUACCUGAUCCGAGGUCAAAAGUUAAAAAGGCUUGUGGGUGCAAGUAUUUGAUAGGAAUCGCGACUUGUGCUGCGCUUCACUACCAAAACACUGGCUGCCAAUUGUUUUAAGGCGAGUCCAAACACAAGGGAGAGGACAAACACCCAACACCAAGCAGAGCUUGAGGGUACAAAUGACGCU
rnacentral:misc_RNA from 1 species